rnacentral:lncRNA from 1 species
UUGCUACGGGUCCCGGCGGCCUUAUGCCGAUCUGGAUCCUAGCGCCGGUAGCGGUCCGGUUUCCGGGUCGUUACAGAAUGGUAUCAGAGCCCUAGGUUCAUAUGGUCGGACCUAGAGUGUCGGGCUCAUAGAUGUGAUAGAAAGGUCAAGCACAAUAGGAAAUCAUGUCCACUAGGAUAGGAUGUAGAGUCCUGUCUAGAAUGAAAGUAUGUAUGCUAUGAGAUAUGCUAUGAAUAUGAUGUGUAUAUGAUGUGGGUUCAUGUGUUUCCACAUGAACCAUUUGAUGCUAAUGUUUUGUUAUCUGUGCUGUUUUUCAGUAAACAGAAUGCN